UACGUAGGGUGCGAGCGUUAAUCGGAAUACUGGGCGUAAAGCGUGCGCAGGCGGUUCGUUAAGUCAGAUGUGAAAGCCCCGGGCUCAACCUGGGAACUGCAUUUGAAACUGGCGGGCUUGAGUAUGGCAGAGGGGGUGGAAUUCCGCGUGUAGCAGUGAAAUGCGUAGAGAUGCGGAGGAACACCGAUGGCGAAGGCAGCCCCCUGGGCCAAUACUGACGCUCAGGCACGAAAGCGUGGGGAGCAAACAGG
rnacentral:rRNA from 1 species